AUUAACUAGCGCAAAGAACAAAAGGUAAAUACUCCCGAUGCCUGUUAAUUAUGGCGUAUCUUAACAAAGAAAAAAUGUCUUCAUAUUGUUUAUAUAUUUUUAGAUUUCAGCCAUAAAAUUAUAACGCCUCGGUUCCAAAAUAAUAUUUUCAAAUCAUUGAAAAUAAAUCGUUAAGCACAAACACCAACACAAUCAAGAUAAAAGAGUGGGAGGAAAUAUAAAUAUACCCUAUACAAGGUUUAACGAGUUGAAUAGCAGACGUGAGUUAAAUCAGCUGAAAAUUCAGUAGAAAGCCAUGAAGAUCAAUGCUCGAAAACAAGAAGCUAAGGCAACAGGCCACUUGGAUUGAUAUUUACCUCUCCAUGGGCCUAUGUUCCGAUUGCACUCAAAACUUUCAAAUGGGGUGGUAUAAAGCCACCUCUGGCGUCACCAGCUAGAUUAUUUUUACCAUGUCAAUAAUAAAAACUGCAGUAAAUCGGUA